GACGAACGCUGGCGGCGUGCUUAACACAUGCAAGUCGAACGGAAAGGCCCUGCUUUUGUGGGGUGCUCGAGUGGCGAACGGGUGAGUAACACGUGAGUAACCUUCCCUUGACUUUGGGAUAACUUCAGGAAACUGGGGCUAAUACCGGAUAGGAGCUCCUGCUGCAUGGUGGGGGUUGGAAAGUUUCGGCGGUUGGGGAUGGACUCGCGGCUUAUCAGCUUGUUGGUGGGGUAGUGGCUUACCAAGGCUUUGACGGGUAGCCGGCCUGAGAGGGUGACCGGCCACAUUGGGACUGAGAUACGGCCCAGACUCCUACGGGAGGCAGCAGUGGGGGAUAUUGCACAAUGGGCGGAAGCCUGAUGCAGCAACGCCGCGUGCGGGAUGACGGCCUUCGGGUUGUAAACCGCUUUCGCCUGUGACGAAGCGUGAGUGACGGUAAUGGGUAAAGAAGCACCGGCUAACUACGUG
rnacentral:rRNA from 1 species